rnacentral:lncRNA from 1 species
AUUCAGCAAAAAUCGAGAUAACAUCAGAGUUUUAAUUGUAUUCAAAUACCUCAAUCCACACCCAUCAUCGAUUGGAGAUCAAAUGGCCCAAAUUCCACUCAAAACAAGCCUAAAUCAGGUUGGCAGCCUUUCCAACCUUUCGAUCCUUUCCCAGAUUAAAUCACGACUAUCAGAUCACACGUUUAAGGCCUUUAAAAUUCUUCUCCC